rnacentral:rRNA from 1 species
CUUGGUCAUUUAGAGGAAGUAAAAGUCGUAACAAGGUCUCCGUAGGUGAACCUGCGGAGGGAUCAUUACAAGAACGCCCGGGCUUCGGCCUGGUUAUUCAUAACCCUUUGUUGUCCGACUCUGUUGCCUCCGGGGCGACCCUGCCUUCGGGCGGGGGCUCCGGGUGGACACUUCAAACUCUUGCGUAACUUUGCAGUCUGAGUAAACUUAAUUAAUAAAUUAAAACUUUUAACAACGGAUCUCUUGGUUCUGGCAUCGAUGAAGAACGCAGCGAAAUGCGAUAAGUAAUGUGAAUUGCAGAAUUCAGUGAAUCAUCGAAUCUUUGAACGCACAUUGCGCCCCCUGGUAUUCCGGGGGGCAUGCCUGUUCGAGCGUCAUUUCACCACUCAAGCCUCGCUUGGUAUUGGGCAACGCGGUCCGCCGCGUGCCUCAAAUCGUCCGGCUGGGUCUUCUGUCCCCUAAGCGUUGUGGAAACUAUUCGCUAAAGGGUGUUCGGGAGGCUACGCCGUAAAACAAACCCAUUUCUAAGGUUGACCUCGGAUCAGGUAGGGAUACCCGCUGAACUUAAGCAUAUCAAUAAGCGGAGG